GACGAACGCUGGCGGCGUGCUUAACACAUGCAAGUCGAGCGGAAAGGCCCUUCGGGGUACUCGAGCGGCGAACGGGUGAGUAACACGUGAGUAACCUGCCCUAGGCUUUGGGAUAACCCCGGGAAACCGGGGCUAAUACCGGAUAUGACCUGGUGCCGCAUGGUGUUGGGUGGAAAGUUUUUUCGGCCUGGGAUGGGCUCGCGGCCUAUCAGCUUGUUGGUGGGGUGAUGGCCUACCAAGGCGAUGCCGGGUAGCCGGCCUGAGAGGGCGACCGGCCACACUGGGACUGAGACACGGCCCGGACUCCUACGGGAGGCAGCAGUGGGGAAUAUUGCACAAUGGGCGGAAGCCUGAUGCAGCGACGCCGUGUGAGGGAUGAAGGCCUUCGGGUUGUAAACCUCUUUCAGCAGGGACGAAGCGUGAGUGACGGUACCUGCAGAAGAAGCGCCGGCCAACUACGUG
rnacentral:rRNA from 1 species